GAUGAACGCUGGCGGCGUGCCUAAUACAUGCAAGUCGAGCGCACGGACGAGCAGCUUGCUUCUCUGAUGUUAGCGGCGGAUGGGUGAGUAACACGUGGAUAACCUACCUAUAAGACUGGGAUAACUUCGGGACACCGGAGCUAAUACCGGAUAAUAUUUUGAACCGCAUGGUUCAAAAGUGAAAGACGGUCUUGCUGUCACUUAUAGAUGGAUCCGCGCUGCAUUAGCUAGUUGGUAAGGUAACGGCUUACCAAGGCAACGAUGCAUAGCCGACCUGAGAGGGUGACCGGCCACCCUAUACUUGAGCCACCGCCCACAACACGACGAGAGGCAGCAGAAGCGAAUCUGCCGCAUGGGGCGAAAUGCUGACAGAGCAACACCGGGUCUGCGUUGGCGGUCUUCGGAUCGGAAGACUGUGGUAGUAGGGAAGAACAGAUGUGUAAGUAAGUGUGCAGACCUGGAGGGUACAUAAUCGGAAGGGCAGGGCUAGCUACGGG
rnacentral:rRNA from 1 species